UACGUAGGGUGCAAGCGUUGUCCGGAUUUAUUGGGCGUAAAGAGCUCGUAGGCGGUUUGUCGCGUCGGAUGUGAAAACCAAGGGCUCAACCCUGGGCCUGCAUUCGAUACGGGCAAACUAGAGUAUGGCAGGGGAGACUGGAAUUCCUGGUGUAGCGGUGAAAUGCGCAGAUAUCGGGAGGAACACCGGUGGCGAAGGCGGUUCUCUGGGCCUUACCUGACGCUGAGGAGCGAAAGCGUGGGGAGCGAACAGG
rnacentral:rRNA from 1 species